rnacentral:rRNA from 1 species
GACGUAGGGCGCGAGCGUUGUCCGGAUUUAUUGGGCGUAAAGAGCUCGUAGGCGGCUUGUCGCGUCGGCUGUGAAAACCCGCGGCUCAACUGUGGGCGGGCAGCUGAUACGGGCAGGCUGGAGUUCGGUAGGGGAGACUGGAAUUCCUGGUGUAGCGGUGGAAUGCGCAGAUAUCAGGAGGAACACCGAUGGCGAAGGCAGGUCUCUGGGCCAUUACUGACGCUGAGAAGCGAAAGCAUGGGGGAGCGAACAGG